rnacentral:rRNA from 1 species
AAAGGAAUUGACGGGGGCCCGCACAAGCGGAGGAACAUGUGGUUUAAUUCGAUGAUACGCGAGGAACCUUACCUGGGCUAGAACGCAUUCGGAACCGCCCCGAGAGGGGCGCGCCAGCGAUGGCCGUUUGCGAGGUGCUGCAUGGUUGUCGUCAGCUCGUGCCGUGAGGUGUCGGGUUAAGUCCCAUAACGAGCGCAACCCCUACUGCUAGUUGCCAGCGGAUCAUGCCGGGGACUCUAGCGGAACUGCCAGCGUAAGCUGCGAGGAAGGUGGGGAUGACGUCAAAUCAGCACGGCCCUUACGUCCAGGGCUACACACGUGUUACAAUGGCCGGUACAGAGGGCAGCCACCCCGCGAGGGGGCGCGAAUCCCGAAAGCCGGUCCCAGUUCGGAUCGGAGUCUGCAACCCGACUCCGUGAAGCUGGAUUCGCUAGUAAUCGCGCAUCAGCCACGGCGCGGUGAAUACGUUCCCGGGCCUUGUACACACCGCCCGU